rnacentral:rRNA from 1 species
AUCGGGGGGACAAGUACACUGAACUUCAAGCCGUUCCGUAGGUGAACCUGCGGAAGGAUCAUUA